AACGUAGGAGACAAACGUUAUCCGGAGUUACUGGGCGUAAAGGGCGUGUAGGCGGUUUGUUAAGUCUGGCGUGAAAGCUCUCGGCUAAACCGGGAGAGGUCGUUGGAUACUGGCAAACUAGAGGACGGUAGAGGCGUGUGGAAUUCCGGGUGUAGUGGUGAAAUGCGUAGAGAUCCGGAGGAACACCAGUGGCGAAGGCGGCUCACUGGCCCGGUACUGACGCUGAGGCACGAAAGCGUGGGGAGCAAACAGGG
rnacentral:rRNA from 1 species